GAUGAACGCUGGCGGCGUGCUUAACACAUGCAAGUCGAACGGAAAGGCCAGUGCUUGCACUGGUACUCGAGUGGCGAACGGGUGAGUAACACGUGGGUGAUCUGCCCUGCACUUCGGGAUAAGCUUGGGAAACUGGGUCUAAUACCGGAUAGGACCACUUCGUUGUUGUUGUGGUGGAAAGUUUUUUCGGUGUGGGAUGAGCUCGCGGCCUAUCAGCUUGUUGGUGGGGUAAUGGCCUACCAAGGCGUCGACGGGUAGCCGGCCUGAGAGGGUGUACGGCCACAUUGGGACUGAGAUACGGCCCAGACUCCUACGGGAGGCAGCAGUGGGGAAUAUUGCACAAUGGGCGGAAGCCUGAUGCAGCGACGCCGCGUGGGGGAUGACGGCCUUCGGGUUGUAAACUCCUUUCGCCAAAGACGAAUUUUUGACGGUAUUUGGAGAAGAAGCACCGGCUAACUACGUGCCAGCAGCCGCGGUAAUACGUAGGGUGCGAGCGUUGUCCGGAAUUACUGGGCGUAAAGAGCUCGUAGGUGGUUUGUCGCGUCGUUUGUGUAAGCCCAUGGCUUAACUGUGGGACUGCAGGCGAUACGGGCAUAACUUGAGUGCUGUAGGGGAGACUGGAAUUCCUGGUGUAGCGGUGAAAUGCGCAGAUAUCAGGAGGAACACCGAUGGCGAAGGCAGGUCUCUGGGCAGUUACUGACGCUGAGGAGCGAAAGCAUGGGGAGCGAACAGGAUUAGAUACCCUGGUAGUCCAUGCCGUAAACGGUGGGCGCUAGGUGUGGGUCCCUUCCACGGGGUUCGUGCCGUAGCUAACGCAUUAAGCGCCCCGCCUGGGGAGUACGGCCGCAAGGCUAAAACUCAAAGGAAUUGACGGGGGCCCGCACAAGCGGCGGAGCAUGUGGAUUAAUUCGAUGCAACGCGAAGAACCUUACCUGGGCUUGACAUACACCGGAUCGCUGCAGAGAUGUAGUUUCCCUUGUGGCUGGUGUACAGGUGGUGCAUGGUUGUCGUCAGCUCGUGUCGUGAGAUGUUGGGUUAAGUCCCGCAACGAGCGCAACCCUUGUCUUAUGUUGCCAGCAUUUGGUUGGGGACUCAUGAGAGACUGCCGGGGUUAACUCGGAGGAAGGUGGGGAUGACGUCAAAUCAUCAUGCCCCUUAUGUCCAGGGCUUCACACAUGCUACAAUGGUCGGUACAACGCGCAGCGAGCCUGUGAGGGUGAGCGAAUCGCUGAAAGCCGGUCGUAGUUCGGAUUGGGGUCUGCAACUCGACCCCAUGAAGUCGGAGUCGCUAGUAGUCGCAGAUCAGCAACGCUGCGGUGAAUACGUUCCCGGGCCU
rnacentral:rRNA from 1 species